CCAGGAACAACUGCAAACCAGAGCCCACUGCUGGGAAUGUCCCAAGGUGCAGCCUCCCGAGAGGACCAUCACAGGCCCUGCGGAGUUGUUCAGAACCCCAACUCUCUGUAAGAAUGGCGGGGGUUGGGCACGAAGUAUCCUCAAAACCAAUUCCUCAUUCCUGGUGCUCCUCAUGCCUCAAACCCUGUGCCUAUUACCCUCUUGUCCACAGCUGGCUGGCUACCCCCUGAACUACUGGGUCUCUGGACCCAUUGUGCCCAGCCACCCCCAAAAGCCCUCAGGCUAGAGCUGCCUGAGGAGGAAAGGAGAAAGAUUGAAGUUCCAAGUGAGAUCGAGGUCCCGAGGGAGGCCCUGGAGCCCAGUGUUCCCCUUAUGGAGCCUUCAGAGCUCUCCCUAGAGGCAGCUGAAGAGGAGAAGACCCGCAUCAGCCUCAUCCCACCAGAAGAACGGUGGGCCUGGCCUGAGGUGGAGCAGCCAGAACUUCCUGCAUUGCCCGUGGUGCCUGAACUCCCUGAGGUGCCCAUGGAGAUGCCUUUGGUGCUGCCC
rnacentral:sRNA from 1 species